rnacentral:rRNA from 1 species
GAUGAACGCUGGCGGCGUGCCUAAUACAUGCAAGUCGAGCGAACGGACGAGAAGCUUGCUUCUCUGAUGUUAGCGGCGGACGGGUGAGUAACACGUGGAUAACCUACCUAUAAGACUGGGAUAACUUCGGGAAACCGGAGCUAAUACCGGAUGAUAUUUUGAACCGCAUGGUUCAAAAGUGAAAGACGGUCUUGCUGUCACUUAUAGAUGGAUCCGCGCUGCAUUAGCUAGUUGGUAAGGUAACGGCUUACCAAGGCAACGAUGCAUAGCCGACCUGAGAGGGUGAUCGGCCACACUGGAACUGAGACACGGUCCAGACUCCUACGGGAGGCAGCAGUAGGGAAUCUUGCGCAAUGGGCGAAAGCCUGACGGAGCAACGCGGCGUGAGUGAUGAAGGUCUUCGGAUCGUAAAACUCUGUUAUUAGGGAAGAACAUAUGUGUAAGUAACUGUGCACAUCUUGACGGUACCUAAGCAGAAAGCCACGGCUAACUACGU